UUGAAUUCAGCCUUGAUGGGUUGUCGCUGGCUCUAAAUCUGAGCAUGUGCACGCCUGUCUUGACUUCUAUUCAUCCACCUGUGCACUUUUGUAGUCUUUUUGGGGGCUGGGGAAGCUGGCGGCUCAGGCUGUCAUGUCGGAACCUCCCACUGGGGGCUAUGUUUUUAUACACAUACCAUUUAAAAUGUAACAGAAUGUUGUCAAUGGGCACUCGUGGCCUAUACGAAAAAACUAUA
rnacentral:misc_RNA from 1 species